GUGGUGAAACUGAUAGAGCGUGUGUUACGUUUAUUAAAGAAAGCUUUUGAUUGAGAGCGCACUGACAAGUUUCUUGGUUGCUGUGUCUUUUUCUCAAGGACGUGAUGCAUCCCCCUACCUCGAUUAUUUAAAGGUUAAAAAAAACAAAAAGAUGAGGAAACUUUUUUAUAUAAAAAAUUAUGUUUAAAAAUAAUUAAUUUUUUAUAUUAUGUUUGAACAUAGAAUUAUAUUAUUUUGUGCUUGUUUUAUUUAAAAUAAGCUUGUGUGUUUGGGUAAUGGUAUUUUAUAUUUUAUUAUUUCCAGAUUAAAUAUUUUACUAUUAAUAAUAUUUUCAUUUUAUUAUUUUAAAAGCAAAAACCAAAAACUAAAAACCAAAACUAAAAUCACUAUUCAUGUUUUCAAAAAAAACUAAAAUCUACUGCAAAAUAAAAAAAAAAAACUAAAAAUCAGAAUCUAAAAUCCAAAAAUCAAAAACUAAAAACCAAAAUCCAAAAUCUAGAAACUAGAAAAACAAUCAUCACAUGAAAUAGAUGAUUUUUCUUUUAUCAUUUAAGCAAAAACUCUAAUUUUGUUGUAGUUCUAUACAGUUAACAUUUUGCUAUUUUAUGCAUAAAAUUGGACAUGAUAAUAUAUAACAGUGGUAUGUCUAAAAUAGAAUUGAGCUAAAUAUAAGUAAAAUAUAAGUAAUAAAAAGAAGAAAAAAGGGGAAACGAAGCACAAUCUAAAGAAAAUAUAUGUAAAGAGGCGGUAUAUUUGAUUAAUCUUAAAUAUACAGAUUUAGGAGGGAGGAAUAGAAAAAUACGAUAAAAGUAACAUACAGUUAAAAUUAUAUUUGAGAAAAAAAAGGAUGAAAAUAAUGUAUAUAUUCAGUUUAAGGACAGUAAAAUAAAUAAAAACUAUGAUUUUGAAUACAAAACACUUUAAAAAGUAAAUAUAAUUUUUAGCACCUACUAUCUUAUAUGGUAUCUGAUAAAACAUUUAGCUAUGAAUAGUGAUGGCAAACAAGCUCUCCCACGUCCAAAUGACCCGCCCGCCGCGGAAUCAAGUUCAUCGGGUCUCAGUAGGCCUAGCCUAUGAGAUGCUGCUAUUUUUUCCUCUCCGAAUUUUUUUCUUUCAAUUUAUUAUGACUUAAGCUAUCUAUAUUGGUUACAUGUUUACAACAUCCUAUUUUCACUCCACGUCAUCUUCUCUUUCUUAUACAUUAUAUUUUAUUUUUUCCACAUCACCUUUCAACACCCAUUCCAUUUUUGUUCUCUACAGUGAUUAUCAUUGUUUUAAAAUAUUACAAGACCCUAUUAAAAGUUAGUGGAGGAUAAUAGCAUAAAUAUAGUAAAAAGAUGAGUUCCUUUUUUUUGUUUCCAAAUGAAAUUAAACAAGUUUCUAUUUAUAGAGAAUGGAAAAUGAUGAAUUUGAUAUAAAAAUUAUAUAAUUAUAAUUAUUAUGAAAUAAUUGAUGUUAAAUAAUUGAAACAAGAAAAGAGUUAGAAAAUAUGAGCAUCCAAACAGAAAAUAUGAACAUCCAAUCAGUUUCUUAUAAUUGUCUUCAUCCUUAUAUUUGCGUUACAAUUAAAAUCUGUGAGAAAAACAUAAUAAUUUAGUCAAAUCAACAUUUGCACGUCUUUAAGAAGGAUCCAUGUUUUUUUUUCAACACUGAAUUUGUCGCAUCAUAUAUUUUACUUUUGCAACAAACCAUUAAAAGCUUAUUUUAAUAUUAAUAAACAGUUGAUAAUUUUUUCAUUGUAGUCUUAGGCACUUUUUCAUAUUAUCUUAGUGUUAAAACUUUUUAACGCACCACAACUUUUCUUCACUUGGCUUUGCAGGAGCAUCAUUUUACAGUUUUAGACUAUUUAACAAUUUUGUAACAAGUUAAAAAUUAUGAGAUAGAAUAAAAAUAUAUCAAGACUUAAAAUCUAUAAAUAUGUAAAUGUCUAAUA